ACCAGGAUGGCCGAAUGGUUAAGGCGUUGGACUUAAGAUCCAAUGUCUGUGUGGGUUCGAACCCCACUCCUGGUA